GUGUAUAUAUAAAUAUAUAUGCAUGUGUGUGUAUUUAUUUAUUUUUUCUGUUUUCAAUUAGUGCACAUGUCUCUGAGGCGUAAAUUCAAGUGGGAGCGUGCACCUCUGGUUGACAACAGUGAAGUGAGAGGUAGUAAGGAGAAGUUUGGCCACAAAAAAUCAAACCAACUUGUAAAAACAGCGAGGACCAGUCAGAGAAAUGUGUCGAAGGCACCAAGUGUUCUGGGUGAGGAUCCAUCCUCCAUUGAGGCUCAUGUGAAUGUCUUGCAUAGCCAGCACCAGAAGAUGCAACCUGACUUGAGGAUUGUACGGGACCGUAUGCAGCAGACGUUUGCAUGGCGGCAAAAGGAGAUUGCUGAUGGAAUGACUGUAGAGGACGCACUUAAGAAGUACCCUUUCUUAAGGACACCCACCGGGUUGUGUGAUGAGUUGGAACGUAUCCAUCCAGCAACAGGGAACUUGUGUCAGCAAUUCAGUGAAGGCUUCAAAUGUAUUGUACCGAAGGUGCUUCACCUAGCUCAAAGGAAAUGCCCACUAUUCAAGUUUUACCUGGAGACAAAAGAAGCUCUUAUUGAGGAUCUUCCAGAUAUUGACUUUAGGGCAGCCCUCAUCUUUCUGCCUUACAUCUUCAAGGAGAACAUUGAUCGCUUUAUUACACUUGGAGAGGUAUGUCUUGCUUGCUAAAAUCUCUUUUGUUCACCUCCAUAACACCAAAUACACUUGACAAACGUACUGAUAG
rnacentral:lncRNA from 1 species